CUGCCCCAAGCUUUGGGAUAACCCUCGGAAACGGGGGCUAAUACCGAAUAUUACUUCUGGCCGCAUGGCUGGUGGUGGAAAGUUUUUCGGCUUGGGAUGGGCUCGCGGCCUAUCAGCUUGUUGGUGGGGUGAUGGCCUACCAAGGCGACGACGGGUAGCCGGCCUGAGAGGGCGACCGGCCACACUGGGACUGAGACACGGCCCAGACUCCUACGGGAGGCAGCAGUGGGGAAUAUUGCACAAUGGGCGGAAGCCUGAUGCAGCGACGCCGCGUGAGGGAUGACGGCCUUCGGGUUGUAAACCUCUUUCAGCAGGGACGAAGCGGAAGUGACGGUACCUGCAGAAGAAGCGCCGGCCAACUACGUGCCAGCAGCCGCGGUAAGACGUAGGGCGCGAGCGUUGUCCGGAUUUAUUGGGCGUAAAGAGCUCGUAGGCGGCUUGUCGCGUCGA
rnacentral:rRNA from 1 species